rnacentral:lncRNA from 1 species
GUUUAUUAUUGCCGUGUUUGAGCCACAUUAUUUGAAAAGAUGCAUUUUUCAACAGUGAUUUGACAUUAUUUCAACCGCAUAUUCUUCAAUAAAAUAAUAUUACGGUCAAAUCCAAAAUUUUUCUUUAUUUUUUAAUCACACAUUUUUCAUCGAUACACUAUUCUAAAAUGCAUUUUCAUUUCAAUAAUGUGGCUCAAACAAGGGCUAUAUGCAAAAUCAUGUUAAUAAAUUAUACAUUAAUAUAAUCGAACUUCACUAUAUAUUUAAUAAAUUGCUUUUCAUCAUAGUAAUCUGCGUUUUUUUAUCAAGAGAAUUAAAUCUCUAUUCAAAAGGAGAUUCCAAAAUGUAGGAAAUUAUCGAAGACUUAUUUGAUGCUUUUGAAAGUAUUUGGGUUGCUUGAGAUUGCUAAUCUAUUAUGAUCCAGAGUUGGUGAGUAUUAUUUUUAAUGAUAAAUGAAGGAGGCGAUAUUGAAGAAAAUGAAAUUGGGACAAUUAAGGAUUAAGAUAAAAUGUUUUAGUAUUUUAUUUUAUUUAUAUAAGCACGUAUCCGCAUAUCCUAUCCUAAUUUUUUUUUAAGAAGUUAUAUCGGCGUACCCAUAUCAUAUUGUAUUCAAAUUACGUAUCCAAAUCUGUGCUUCUUAGGAUGAGACCUGUGAGUGGGAUUUGUGCUUAUAGCCUUAAAACUAUUUCAGGAACUUUAUAGUUAAUAGAUGUAUGUGAAUUAAAUGUAUCAACUUGGAACCAUGGUAUCACACCCAACUAAGUGUUCAAAUACAUUUAAUAAAUGAACAUUAUUUUCAUCCCUAAACCAUGCUUUCCUCCCCGCCGUGGCCAUAUGGAAUCUGUCUC